UGGUAGAAUUCAGCAGUGCAGACACCCA
rnacentral:piRNA from 1 species